GUUGCAUAUGGGGUCAGAGAUCAGAAAGCCAUGUGGACUCACUGAAAACUGUACUAGAUAUCAUGCAAGAUGAAGGCAGCCUUGAUAGCAGCCACGGUCCUCACACUCGCGUCUGCUCCCUUCAUAAAGCCAGCUCUCUGGGGAAGCUGAAGGUACCGGUGGUUUUACUUCCCUAUGUCCUCUCCAGCACUGGAGUCAAGGUCAACUUCACUCUGAGCUCCCCUCAAGGUUGCUUCUUUUGGUGUUGGCAAGUCCACCCUCCUCCGCUCUAUGGCGUGUCAUGAGCUGCGUCUACCAGCUGGUGUGAGUGUACUACACGUGGAGCAAGAGGUCACCGGGGACAACACACUAGCACUGGAUAGUGUACUCGAGUGUAACACUGAAAGAGUGCAGCUGCUCGCUAGAGAGGGAGAGCUACUGCAUGGCCUCAGGGGACAAGAACACAGCAGCAGGCUGGUCUGUGUACCUUGGGGUGGGGGGAGGUGUUUUAAGUACAGUAAAAUUACAAUAAUGACCAAAUUUGUGAUUUUCUGAUUUUCUGAAAGCUUAGAAAGAGACCUUUCAAAUGGUGUCAUCAAAGUUUAUAUUUGAGAGAUAAAAGUAUUUGCCAAUUUGGCCAUACCAUGAAAAAUAGCCCAUGGUCCAAGGCGGAAAAUUACAAAUUAGGGCCCCAACAAAAUUUUUGAUCGAAACACAUCAUUUGAAAGGUCUCUUUCUAAGCUUUCAGAAAAUCAUAACAUUUUUGACAUUGGAUCAACGGUAUUAAAGUUAAUGGCUGUUGAAAAAUCAGGUUUGUUUUUAGAGCUAUCUUUUAGAGGCCAUAACUUGUAUUAGGAACGUCCUAUUUAAAAAACUCAAAGACGCAUUCUGUAGCUUUGAGAAAGCACUAUUGUAUACAAUUAAAGUGUCUUAAAACCGCUAAUUGCUCGCAGUGCCAAAGCUCACUAAUUUGUGUGUCCUAUGCUGUAGAUGUGGGAACACGGAACCAUCGUCGGUUGUGUGCAGUGUAUUAUAGUCGUACCCCCGGGUUUGAAGUGUCCAUGGACUACUGGACCAUGUCAUGUAGCUGCUGGAGGUGUCCUUCACCAAAGAUGGCAGUAGAUACUUCCUCAAGGCAGCUAAAGACUCUACCUAGUUCCCGGGCCGUUGUGCAGAGGUGUGUGUAUGUGGGAAGGUGAUUAGGAAACUGGGCAUGCUCCAUCCUGGUGUGUCUGUUGUGCAGCUCUAGUGUGUGUGAGACUGGGAGGUGUGUCUGGUGCAGCUGUUCUCACGGCCUCCUCCAACCAGUACCUGCCCUCCGUACUCUCCAGGGAGAACCUAUCUCCUCAGGCCUACUAUGCUGCUCACUCUAACUGACUCUUACGAUUAUUCUAGUAUUCAUAAUGUAAGUACGUACAUAUUGUAUACCAGUACAUGUGUUGUGUGUGGUGUCCCUAUAGUUGAGUGUGAGUGUGAGAGGCCAUAUAUAUAAGGAGGACAUACGUGUGUCGAGGCUGGAGGUGGCCCGUGUGCUGAGGGAGAGAAAUGAGUACAAAGAGAAGUACCUCUCACUAUUGGAGCAGAUUAGGUAAAGGGUCAUCGUGUAGUGUUUGUAAAGCGGUCAUUAUAACUUUAAUAACUGCUAAUACAUACUAACACUGUGUAUCCAGAGGAGGUUCGACAGGUGCAGUGCAGCUCAAGCAAUUAGUCUCUGAUUACACGCUUGCAUGAGCGGAUAAUUAGUGUUCAUGCAAUCAAAGGCUAAUACAUACUAACACUGUGUAUUUGUACUAACAAUGUUAGUUGAUUAAUAAUAAUGUUUCUCUGUUGCACAGGAUGAGUGCUGACUCGGCUCUGUUUAAGUCCAAGAGCAAGAAAUCAAAGUGGCUCGACUAGUGAGUUGUGUCACGUCAGUUAGUGUGUAGAGUUGUAGUGAAGCUUUUCUUAUUCUAGUCACUCUAUAGAGAUUAUUAUAGAAUACAGUCAGGUUAAUUAAUGGACUCCAUAGCGGACCUAUGCCACCUCUAGAGUACAGCUAUACUGUUUCACUGUAUAUCUUGAAGUAAGAUUAUA